rnacentral:rRNA from 1 species
CCUACGGGAGGCUGCAGUGGGGAAUAUUGCACAAUGGGCGCAAGCCUGAUGCAGCCAUGUCGCGUGUAUGAAGAAGGCCUUCGGGUUGUAAAGUACUUCCAGUCGUGAGGAAGGUGUUAAGGUUCAUAACCUUAGCAAUUGACGUUAGCGAUAGAAGAAUCACCGGCUAACUCCGUGCUAGCAGCCGCGGUAAUACGGAGGGUGCGAGCGUUAAUCGGAAUUACUGGGCGUAAAGGGUACGCAGGCGGUUGGUUAAGUAGGAUGUGAAAGCUCAGGGCUUAACUGGGUAAUUACGUGUAACAUUGUUUAGCUGGUGGCGUGUAGAUUGUGGUAAAAUUCAAUGUGUAGCGGUUAAUAGCGUAGAGCUGUGGUGUACAACCGGUAGCGGAUACGACCUCCUGGACAAAGACUGUGACUCAUGUGCAAAUGCGUAGACAGCGAUCGGCAUUAGUUACCCUAGUAGUC